rnacentral:rRNA from 1 species
GAAUCUUGCGCAAUGGGCGAAAGCCUGACGCAGCGACGCCGCGUGAGCGAUGAAGGCCUUCGGGUUGUAAAGCUCUGUGGGGAGGAAAGAAUAAGGUUUGGCUAAUAUCCAAGCUGAUGACGGUACCUCCUUAGCAAGCACCGGCUAACUCUGUGCCAGCAGCCGCGGUAAGACAGAGGGUGCAAACGUUGUUCGGAAUUACUGGGCGUAAAGCGCGUGUAGGCGGCCCUGCAAGUCGGGUGUGAAAUCCCAUGGCUCAACCAUGGAAGUGCACUCGAAACUGCAGGGCUAGAGUCCUGGAGAGGAAGGUGGAAUGCUUGGUGUAGAGGUGAAAUUCGUAGAUAUCAAGCGGAACACCGGUGGCGAAGGCGGCCUUCUGGACAGUGACUGACGCUGAGACGCGAAAGCGUGGGGAGCAAACAGG